GACGAACGCUGGCGGCGUGCUUAACACAUGCAAGUCGAACGGAAAGGCCCUGCUUUUGUGGGGUGCUCGAGUGGCGAACGGGUGAGUAACACGUGAGUAACCUGCCCUUGACUUUGGGAUAACUUCAGGAAACUGGGGCUAAUACCGGAUAGGAGCUCCUGCUGCAUGGUGGGGGUUGGAAAGUUUCGGCGGUUGGGGAUGGACUCGCGGCUUAUCAGCUUGUUGGUGGGGUAGUGGCUUACCAAGGCUUUGACGGGUAGCCGGCCUGAGAGGGUGACCGGCCACAUUGGGACUGAGAUACGGCCCGGACUCCUACGGGAGGCAGCAGGGGGGAAUAUUGCACAAUGGGCGGAAGCCUGAUGCAGCAACGCCGCGUGCGGGAUGACGGCCUUCGGGUUGUAAACCGCUUUCGCCUGUGACGAAGCGUGGGUGACGGUAAUGGGUAAAGAAGCACCGGCUAACUACGUG
rnacentral:rRNA from 1 species